GAAGCUGGCUAGACAGUCGCUGCAUAGUACGUUUAUGCAGAGGAAAGUCCGGGCUCCACAGAGCGGGAUGCCGGUUAACGGCCGGACGCCGUGAGGCGAUGGAAAGUGCCACAGAAAAUAUACCGCCUAAGUUCCUUCGGGAGCCGGUAAGGUUGAAAUGGCGAGGUAAGAGCUCACCGCGGACGUGGUAACACGGACGGCAGGGUAAACCCCAUCCGGAGCAAGACCAAAUAGGCUGGCUAUGACGUUGCUCGCGUCGCCAGCGGGUAGGUUGCUUGAGCGUAAGGUAACGAAACGCCUAGAGGAAUGACUGUCCACGACAGAACCCGGCUUACCGGCCAGCUUCACCU
rnacentral:RNase_P_RNA from 1 species